rnacentral:rRNA from 1 species
UGGAUGCCUUGGCAUAAAGAGGCGAUGAAAGACGUGGCACUCUGCGAUAAGCUACGGGGAGGUGAGAGCAACCUUUGAUCCGUAGAUCUCUGAAUGGGGCAACCCGGCGCUUUAGCGUCAUCGUUAACUGAAUACAUAGGUUAACGAAGCAAACCCGGCGAAGUGAAACAUCUCAGUAGCCGGAGGAAAGGACAUCAACCGAGACUCCGUUAGUAGUGGCGAGCGAACGCGGACCAGGCCAGUGCUCUUAUCAAUCGAACCGGAACCGUCUGGAAAGUCGGGCCGCAGUGGGUGACAGCCCCGUACGGGUAGGAAAGAUAAGAGACUCGAGUAGGGCGGGACACGUGAAAUCCUGUCUGAACAUGGGGGGACCAUCCUCCAAGCCUAAGUACUCCUACAUGACCGAUAGUGAACCAGUACCGUGAGGGAAAGGUGAAAAGCACCCCGACGAGGGGAGUGAAACAGACCCUGAAACUGGACGCCUACAAGCAGUCGGAGGGCGAAAGCCUGACGGCGUACCUUUUGUAUAAUGGGUCAGCGACUU